rnacentral:tRNA from 1 species
CGAAGUAUAGCUUAAUGCAAAGCACCUUGCUUACACCAAGAAAAUGUUCGAUCACACAAACUGCUUCGUG